rnacentral:tmRNA from 1 species
GGGGGCGAUCGGUUUCGACGAGGCAAGUGAAAUGACUGAGGGCAUACCGAGGGUUCUGGUGACCUCGUAAAUCCGACCGGAAAGAAAAAACAUCCUGAAAACGGAUACGCUCUAGCUGCAUAAUAAUGCGGCAGCUUAGGGUAAGGUGUCAUAUAGGGCUGAAGCCUAUCGAUUCCUGCCUUUGGGGUUGAUGGGUCAGUUGAAAAGGCUAGCUCUUGCAGACCUGUCUCUUGGUGACGCGAGAGGAGAUACGUAAAGAGACUAAGUAUGUAGGCCUCUACAUGGAAAUGUCUCGGACGCGGGUUCAAUUCCCGCCGCCUCCAUCA